ACUAACGCGCUCCCCCUUGCGGCAGGAGGAGCAACAUCUACUAAGGCGAGCAACUCGAGAACCAGCAUCCGCCCAAAAGGGAAGAAAGACUCAGAAUUAACACAAGGAAGGUCCCAAUGGGCUUUAACAGGCCCUGUUUUUGGACUGUCCUCCAGCUUUAACUCCUUAAGAAAAAACACACGUGUAAUGAAAAAGAUGGAAGAAAUCUUGGAAAAGGCAAUUCGGAGAGAGACCCUAUUCCAGACAAGACUUCCACCUUUCUGGUUCUGCGCAUCUGCCCGUCGGCGUAUACUGUGGAAGGACUGCUCUAGCCUUUGUUGUGG